UACAACGUCCCCUGAAUCCUCAUUCCACAUGACAAGCAUACAUAUGAUACAAUAAUCUUUUCAAAUUUCAAUCUAUGAAAGGUGCAUUGUAUUUUUCUUUGAUGCUGUAUAUUUUUUCACAAGAAAUACAAAUAGGAGCCCGAUCCCAAAACCCAUUUUCAAUCAAGGGGUGGUCCUCUGAUAUAUUUAUAUAGUCAUGACUAUGUCAGAAUAACUGCUUGUAGGGAAUCAGAUGGGGUGAAUACUGAAUAGUGUCCAUAAAUGUAGGUCACCAAAUUUUGAUAAUAAAGGGUGGUUGGUGAAAUCCCUUAAUAUCACAUUCACCCCUAGGUAAAGCCAUCGGCCCAUGGCAGACAAAGAGUAAAGCCCUUGCCAAAAUGUCUACAACCAGUGAUGGAUCUAGGGGGUCGUACGGUUGCCCCUCCAAUAUGUUCCAAACAAAAUUCACAAGUUUAUAUAUUGAAUAGUGAAAAAUUUUGCGAAAAUAUAUGCAUUCCUGACCUCGAAAAAAUUCACACAUAUAGGUUACAUGAUAUAUUCUCAUCCUUGUCUACAACCUCCCCUGAAUCCUCAUUCUAUAAUGUACAAUCAUCUUUUCUCUUUUGAAUGGAUGUGAGAGGUACAAUGUAUGUUUGUCUGAGGUUCUACUUUUCCUUGAGUCAAAUGCAAUAUGAAUUCCCUUUGAGUCCCUCCAGAAUGGUCUGCAGCUCCAGGCAAAGGUGUUGGGCAGUUCUCCCUCUACAAUCAAAGGCGCUUCACUGAGUUGUCCAAUUACUGGUUGGUUCUCUCUACAGAUAUAAUGUAGUUUGCUGUUGGUUUUGAAUUGAGUUUACAAGAGAUGUAUUUAAAGAACAUGUCAUUGCCGCAAAUCCUUCCAUCAUUAAGUCAUGAACCAGGAAUCCGUUAACCACACAAAAUCCUAUGUUGAAGUAAUAAUAAGAAUUUAUCAUUUCACAAACUGAACUACAAAAACAAACUGUGCAAACAAUGAAUAUGCAUGUAGCUGAUUAAAAGCCGAAGUUGAAGAAAACAUAACCCACCAGAUCCAAAACCUGCUAGCAACUCGGCUAUAUAAUUGGCCAAUGUGCAUUUGCUGGAACUAGUAAAGUAAUAUCUCUAGCUAGAGAGGAUAGAUCAUUAUAACUGAAAUUCCUGUAAAAACAAUACACCAAAUUA
rnacentral:lncRNA from 1 species